rnacentral:lncRNA from 1 species
AUGUCAAUGAGUGUGCCCAGUCUUUCGGACCUUGCAUGCACUUGUGCACAAACACACCCGGCUCUUUUCGGUGUCUGUGCCAGAAUGGUUUCAAAACUCUUGGGAACGGCUCUUGUGAACCUCAAGGAGCCAUGACGAAGAUCUUGACCUCCAGGAAGGGGUUGAUUGGGUUAGUGAAUGUGAAGACCAGAGUCUAUGAACCGCUCUUUGCAAUUGAGAGCGAACCUAUAGCCAUGACCUACGAUAUCCAGAGAAACUUCAUCUACUGGGCUGAUAAAGAUGGGAAUAUCUACCAGGCUUUGAACCGGAAGAGCACGAUUCUUUAUAAAGGGCAGUCUGGUUUGCACAGUCUAGCCGUCGACUGGUUUACUGGACAGCUGUACUGGACGAGUGUUACCCAGAAAGCCAUCCUCACCGGUGCAGCUGAUGGCAGUGCUGUAGGGACGGUCAUGUCCAAAGAAAUGGACCCGAGAGAGAUGGUCCUCAGCCCAACGGAGAGGUACAAACUGAUUUUUACUGUAUAAGCACAGAUUUGAGGAGCACAGUUAUAUGUCUGAUUGUUUUUCCCCCUGUAGUUUCAUAUUUUGGAUUAAUAAAGGAGCGAAUGACGAGCUGACCAUCGAGAGGGCGGAGAUGGACGGUCUGAACCGGACUACACUGGUUUUCAUCACUGCACAGCUCCCGAGGAGUCUUACGAUGGAUGUGGCGGCGCGCCGGCUGUAUUGGAUCAGUGUUUACAAAGCGGUGUGUUUCGUCAAAAACCUGAGUUUAUUGAUUGUGUGUUUAUUUCGUUUUUAUCAUUGUUAUUGGUAUUCCAGUCAAUUGAGAGCAUCAGGACAGACGGCACUGGACGGCACACCUUCUGGGAUUUCUUUCAAGGACGUCCUGCUCAGACCCUGGCUGUGUUUAACGGCUGGUUUUACUUGGCUGAUGAGAAAAAACUCUGGCAGGCUACUCAAAAUAGAUCUUCUGACACACUAAAUGGCUUCAUCUUAAAAGCCUCGCUUCCUGUCUUGAACAUCUACCAUGUGCUUCAGCAGCCCAGAGGUGAGUUAUUUUUUGUGAACUUGGUCGUAGUGGUUACACCCACAUCACUGGCUCCAAGCUUUGUGUUUUGUGAUGUAGGUUUUGCUCCGUGUAAAGACUCGGGCUGCCAGCUGUGUUUGCCGUCCAAGAAAACUCCUGCUGGAUUCACCUGUCUGUGUCCUGAGGGAGCGCUGCCCAUGUCUUGGGGAGCUUGUGAAAAUUUUAAGGUCGCCUAUGCAACAGCCACAGCUGUAUACAGUUUGGAGUUUGCAGGAGAGACUCCUGUGAAAACUGAACUCUUUACUUCAGAUGAAGACAUCCAGUCGUUUGACAUGUACUGGAGGAGAGGAUGUGUGGUGUGGUCUAAUGGGACGGGCCACGUGAAGACUAACAUACAGUCCCAGGACUUGUCGGAGUACAUCCUGACUUUAAAACCUGCCUGCAUCGUCAGAGUUGACCAGAGGACUGGGAAUCUGUAUUGGCUGGCCUGUGAUGAACUUUCCAUUGGGGUUUCUACCAUUGGCCCCCUCGACCAGAGUAUCUCCAGACAGCUGUAUCAAACCAGAACCGCAAUCCUAGACCUCUUUGUGGACUGGCAGAGAGGAAAGCUGUACUGGCUGGAGGGAAAGCAGGUCAUGAGGAUGAAACUGGGUCUGAUUGGUGGAAAUGUCGAAACUGCCUUCAGCUUCGAGGAGGAUGGAGUCGACCGCGUUGUGUUUGAUCAUAAAGCGAAUGGCUUCCUUUGGAGCAUGGAGUCUUGUUAGUGGCUUUUCCUUCUGAGUUAACUGCUAGUCUGCACAGGUUUUC